GACGUAGGGCGCGAGCGUUGUCCGGAUUUAUUGGGUUUAAAGGGUGCGUAGGCGGUCUAUUAAGUCAGUGGUGAAAGCCAACAGCUCAACUGUUGAACUGCCAUUGAUACUGAUAGACUUGAGUACAGACGAGGUAGGCGGAAUUGAAGAUGUAGCGGUGAAAUGCAUAGAUAUCUUCAAGAACACCGAUUGCGUAGGCAGCUUACUAGGCUGUAACUGACGCUGAGGCACGAAAGCGUGGGGAGCGAACAGG
rnacentral:rRNA from 1 species